AGGCGGCAGGCAACAGCAGGGGCAGGGACGCAAGGUAAGGGCAGGCGAAAUGCAGAGGAGCCGGCAACCGUACGGUAUGCGAUGAGUGCAUGUAGAUCCGCCGAGACGCAUGUCGCAUCGCUGCCGCUGCCGUAAUACUAAACCCACAUCCUGUCGAUGCCCGCGGUGUCAACCCUGUGUGCCCGUGUGCCACCGCCACGAAGCAGUCCCUCCUGCACACGGAGCCCCUCCUGGACACGGGCCUGGGUCCCAGCAUCUCAAUGCAUUCCGUGUGGUGCAUGCACCACUAGAUCCCACUGGUAUCAGUCCUGCGCCCAUACCACACUGCCCGUGCGACCCCCGUGCAACCGCCACGGCCGACUGCAUGCGGG
rnacentral:lncRNA from 1 species